GACGAACGCUGGCGGCGUGCUUAACACAUGCAAGUCGAACGGAAAGGCCCUGCUUUUGUGGGGUGCUCGAGUGGCGAACGGGUGAGUAACACGUGAGUAACCUGCCCUUGACUUUGGGAUAACUUCAGGAAACUGGGGCUAAUACCGGAUAGGAGCUCCUGCUGCAUGGUGGGGGUUGGAAAGUUUCGGCGGUUGGGGAUGGACUCGCGGCUUAUCAGCUUGUUGGUGGGGUAGUGGCUUACCAAGGCUUUGACGGGUAGCCGGCCUGAGAGGGUGACCGGCCACAUUGGAACUGAGAUACGGCACAGACUCCUACGGGAGGCAGAAGUGGGGAAUAUUGCACAAUGGGCGGAAGCCUGAUGCAGCAACGCCGCGUGCGGGAUGACGGCCUUAGGGUUGUAAACCGCUUUCGCCUGUGACGAAGCGUGAGUGACGGUAAUGGGUAAAGAAGCAAAGGCUAACUAAGU
rnacentral:rRNA from 1 species